AGUGAACGCUGGCGGUAGGCCUAACACAUGCAAGUCGAACGGCAGCACAGUAAGAGCUUGCUCUUACGGGUGGCGAGUGGCGGACGUGUGAGGAAUACAUCGGAAUCUACUUUUUCGUGGGGGAUAACGUAGGGAAACUUACGCUAAUACCGCAUACGACCUACGGGUGAAAGCAGGGGAUCUUCGGCCCUUGCGCGAUUGAAUGAGCCGAUGUCGGAUUAGCUAGUUGGCGGGGUAACGGCCCACCAAGGCGACGAUCCGUAGCUGGUCUGAGAGGAUGAUCAGCCACACUGGAACUGAGACACGGUCCAGACUCCUACGGGAGGCAGCAGUGGGGAAUAUUGGACAAUGGGCGCAAGCCUGAUCCAGCCAUACCGCGUGGGUGAAGAAGGCCUUCGGGUUGUAAAGCCCUUUUGUUGGGAAAGAAAAGCAGCAGGUUAAUACCCCGCUGUUCUGACGGUACCCAAAGAAUAAGCACCGGCUAACUUCGUG
rnacentral:rRNA from 1 species